AUGGGGCUUUUUAUUCUCCUAAUGUUUCUAGGCUCAUAUCAGGUCACUUUGGAGGCUGAUAUCAGGUGGCUACUCAUGUCUAGCUUGGUGGCUUGGUGCCUAAAUUUUAGAUGUUCCAUUAAUCUUGGCUGCUUUUCUCAUCCGUUUUGGGCUUUAACCUUGGAUCUAGAAGGUAGCAGCUUCUUUGUUCUCCUACUCAAGAUUUGCUCAUUGUUCAGUUCAAGCCAUGUUCUUCAGGAAAAUCAUUGUUUCUUCACUUCCAGGGCCAGCGUCACUCAACUUUGCUUGGAUCAUGCUUAUUUGUUUCUACAUUACCUUUGCUUAAUAUUUUCUCUUGAUUUCCUAUGUGAUUGA
rnacentral:rRNA from 1 species